rnacentral:rRNA from 1 species
GAGUAACGCGUGGGAAACCUGCCCCUGAGUUGGGGAUAACACUCCUAACGGAGUGCUAAUACCGAAUAACACGAUCGGAUCUCAUGGCUUGGUCGUCAAAGCUGGCCUCUGCAUGCAAGCUGGCGCUUGGGGAGGGUCCCGCGUCCAUUAGCUUGUUGGUGGGGUAACGGCUCACCAAGGCGACGAUGGGUAGCUGGUCUGAGAGGAUGGUCAGCCACACUGGGACUGAGAUACGGCCCAGACUCCUACGGGAGGCAGCAGUCGAGAGGCUUCGUCAAUGGGGGAAACCCUGAACGAGCGACGCCGUGUGGGCGAUGAAGGCCGGAAGGUCGUAAAGCCCUGUCGGAGGGAAAGAACCGCCGGGACGUAAACAGCGUCUCGGUCCGACGUUACCCUUAAAGGAAGCUCGGCUAACUCCGUGCCAGCAGCCGCGGUAAUACGGGGGGAGCUAACGUUGUUCGGAAUCACUGGGCGUAAAGGGCGCGCAGGCGGUCUGGUAAGUGAGACGUGAAAUCCCUCGGCUCAACCGAGGAACUGCGUCUCAUACUGCCGGGCUUGAGGGCGGGAGAGGAAACGGGAAUUCCCGGUGUAGCGGUGAAAUGCACUGAUAUCGGGAGGAACACCUGUGGCGAAGGCGCGUUUCUGGCCCGCUUCUGACGCUCAGGCGCGAAAGCUGGGGGAGCAAACAGGAUUAGAUACCCUGUAAGUCCCAGCUGUAAACGGUGGGCAUCUAGUGUGUGGGAGGCAUCGACCCCUCCCGUGCCGUAGUCUAACGCAUUAAGUGCCCCGCCUGGGGAGUACGAUCGCAAGGUUGAAACUCAAAGGAAUUGACGGGGGCCCGCACAAGCGGUGGAGCAUGUGGUUUAAUUCGAUGCAACGCGAAGAACCUUACCUGGGCUUGACAUGCACCGGACAGGUGUGGAAACACACUCUCCCUUCGGGGUCGGUGCACAGGUGCUGCAUGGCUGUCGUCAGCUCGUGUCGUGAGAUGUUGGGUUAAGUCCCGCAACGAGCGCAACCCUUGCCCUUAGUUGCCAGCACUUCGGGUGGGCACUCUAGGGGGACUGCCGCCGAUGAGGCGGAGGAAGGUGGGGAUGACGUCAAGUCCUCAUGGUCCUUAUGUCCAGGGCUACACACGUGCUACAAUGGCCGGCACAAAGGGUCGCAAUGCCGCGAGGUGGAGCCAAUCCCAAAAAGCCGUCUCAGUUCGGAUUGCAGUCU